rnacentral:rRNA from 1 species
GAGUAAUGUCUGGGAAACUGCCUGAUGGAGGGGGAUAACUACUGAACGGUAGCUAAUACCGCAUAACGUCGCAAGACCAAAGAGGGGGACCUUCGGGCCUCUUGCCAUCGGAUGUGCCCAGAUGGGAUUAGCUAGUAGGUGGGGUAACGGCUCACCUAGGCGACGAUCCCUAGCUGGUCUGAGAGGAUGACCAGCCACACUGGAACUGAGACACGGUCCAGACUCCUACGGGAGGCAGCAUG